CCUUCCCUCCCAGCAGCCCUGUGCAUGUGGUCUUCCAAGCCUCUUUCGUGGCUUUGUCUUUCAGCCAAAUGCUAGAGCCUUUGCUGCUUCUUACUUCUAAUUGUAUGGGCCUUCUAAGAUGGCAAGUUAAUCUACCAAAUAAAUGGGCUAAUCUCAUCAAGUUUUGGGCUAUAUUGGUUAAUUUUAAUGGACCAUUUUGAUUGGGCUAUUUUGGUUGGGAUAUUUUGGUUGAGAUAUUUUGGGUGGGAUAUUUUCUCUCUUGUGCUCACCUACAUGUUUGGGCGUAAGAAAUGGGCUUCAGGUCCGAGGCUCCCAAGUAAUCCGGAACCUCCAUUUCAUGGCCCAUCAAUGGGCCUCAUGACAACUAAUUACCAUCUAUGCUACAACACACUCAAGCAAGUCCCGGGCAUUUAAGUGGCGUGGGGCCACUUAGGCUUGUAGUGUGACAUAACGAUUUCCUGCUUUGGCAUGGCAUGUUGCUUGAUAUGUUUUUUAAUUAUGAUGCUUAACGAGAUAAUUAGCAUGGAUUUGUAGAACUAACGUAUUUUAUAAUCUUAAUCUCGAUUCCUAGCACGACGGAUUAUUUAUUUGGGCAUGGCACGCGGGAGUGUGACUCGUGCAUGGCGGCCCUUUGUGUGCUCCAAAUUGGGCAUUUUCUUAAUAAUGUGUCGUUUUGGGUCAGGAAUUUAUUUGGGCCCAACCAUGGAUUUUUUGUGACUCAACAUUAGCCCCCUUAAUUAUAAGGGUCAUAGACAGGUGCUGGAAUGGGCCGAAUAAUUAAAACCAACCAAAAAAAUCAGGUUUGUAUUUGUAGGGAACCUCCCUUCUUCCGACGUGCAAAAUGACGGCGUGCCAUGAUUGACCCCAACGGUUAUUUGCAGUUUCCCAAUGCCAACCGCCUUCUUUCUCUCUCUUUUUU
rnacentral:lncRNA from 1 species